rnacentral:ncRNA from 2 species
UCCGUGUAGAAAGGGAGCUGCGGAUACGGCGCGGCUGAGAGGAACGACCUAUUCGUUCGACCUUAGAACCUGAUCUGGGUAAUGCCAGCGUAGGGACCACGGCACGCGCAAA